rnacentral:misc_RNA from 1 species
AGUCCUUAUUGGAUGGCUCCUGAGCUCUUGCAGUCAGUUAUGCAGACGGAUACUACCACUGAUCUUGCCUUUGCCACUGAUAUAUGGAGUUUGGGUUGUACAGUAAUUGAAAUGCUGAACGGCAGACCACCUUGGAGUGAAUAUGAAGCAGCUGCAGCCAUGUUCAAGGUUCUAAAAGAUACGCCUCCAAUACCGGAAACAUUAUCACGUGAAGGGAAAGAUUUCUUGCGCUGUUGUUUCUGUAGGAACCCAGCGGAAAGGCCCUCGGCCAGCAUGUUAUUAGAACAUCGAUUUAUGAGAGUA